AUUGAACGCUGGCGGCAGGCUUAACACAUGCAAGUCGAACGGUGACAGGUCUUCGGAUGCUGACGAGUGGCGAACGGGUGAGUAAUACAUCGGAACGUGCCCGAGAGUGGGGGAUAACGAGGCGAAAGCUUUGCUAAUACCGCAUACGAUCUCAGGAUGAAAGCAGGGGACCGCAAGGCCUUGCGCUCACGGAGCGGCCGAUGGCAGAUUAGGUAGUUGGUGGGAUAAAAGCUUACCAAGCCGACGAUCUGUAGCUGGUCUGAGAGGACGACCAGCCACACUGGGACUGAGACACGGCCCAGACGCCUACGGGAGGCAGCAGUGGGGAAUUUUGGACAAUGGGCGCAAGCCUGAUCCAGCCAUGCCGCGUGCAGGAUGAAGGCCUUCGGGUUGUAAACUGCUUUUGUACGAAACGAAAAGACUCUGGUUAAUACCUGGGGUCCAUGACGGUACCGUAAGAAUAAGCACCGGCUAACUCUGUGCCAGCAGCCGCCGUAACAC
rnacentral:rRNA from 1 species